CACACACAUACUGCCCCUCAUAAAUCCUCAACCUCCCCUCUGCCCUCUAUCUCUACAUCUUCCCACGCCUAUCUUCAACUAACUGCCUCCCCUCCGUCCACCGCCUCGCCAAGGGCGGUGGGAAUGUGAGCACGCCUCAGACCAGGGAGAAGGUCAGCGGCGAGGAUCAUGUAUAAUUGUACUUCUGACGUGCUCACAUUUUCCAUUCAGCUCUGGCUCGACUCUACAUCUAACCCCAAUCUGCAUGUCUGUGGGAGGAAGCCAGAUAAAAACCACUCAGACACUGUGAGAGCAGAGCCCUGACCGAACCGGUUUGGAAACAGGAACCUUCUUGAUUUGAGGCGACAGUGCGAACCACCGCCCCUCUCAUGGUGUGCUCCACCGCAGGCCCCAUGAGGGAGGGGAUCAUAAGUACGGCAGGCGGAAGAGAGGUGCCGUUCCUGCUGCAACCAGACUAACAAGUUAGAAGAAGAUUGCAUGCGAAGGAGAGAGUGUUGCAUGUUACUGGAG